GCCGGGGUCAGAGCCAAGCUUAGCCCUUCCCCAGAGAUGGCAUGAGUAGCUGGACGUGAUGCCUAGGAGGGGACUGUAGGUCAUUUUUCUCCUCUUUCUAGCAGCCCGCCUCCGGUAAAAGUCUCUCAAGCCGUUGGCAAAUGCUGCGAGGACAGGAACUGUGGGGCGUUCAGAGGUCGAUCCAGGAGACUCCAACGCAAAAGGCAUCUUCCUUCACAGCCAGGCAAUUCCUCUGAGGCAGAAGCGGAUGAAAUGAUGGUAGGCCCUUCGCCAAGCCGUGAGGCAGCUCCAAGAUCCAGGGACCAGGUGGAGGUGGUGAAGAUGACCGCUAAAGGGAACGUGAAGGAUCACGGGGUGGCUUUGGCGCUGAGCGGCUUAGUGGCAGCAAUCUCCGCUCUCCUCCUCGCUGGGGGAGCCCUCCUUGUGCAUCAGAGGUGCAGCAACGCUGCUGUCUGACUUGUUUUAGAGGCGUGUUUCUUUGUGGCCGAGCAAUAAAGGACAGACUUUGGGUUCUGG